rnacentral:misc_RNA from 1 species
GUCAGAGAUGCUCCCAUUGCCAACAUCAAUGUUCAUCAUAAGGGAACCUGUUAACUCCAGUGGAAGCUCUGUGUGAUUUUUGUUUACAGGUUUCUUCAGCUCAUUUUUGGUAGAAACAGGGCUUAUUCUCAAGCCCAAAUGAGUCGUUACAGAAGUCACAAAUGAAGGAGAUACUCGACUGCCAUCGGCCAUGCUUGAAUUAGAAAAACU